rnacentral:tRNA from 1 species
GGGGUUGUAGCCCAGUGGUGGAGUGAAUGCCUGGCAUGUAUAAAGUCCUGAGUUUGAUCCCCAGCACCACCA